GAAGAAGAGGAGUGACAGCGAUCGGUGAGCUCUAACACGGAAGGCUGGAGAGUAGCGCUGCCUGAAAGCAGGAGGAAGUGGGAAAAAACAAACAAACUAGAGGAUGAAAACAAAACGGGCACGAUCUCUGUGUAGGCUAAACAAGAGAUGUGGAUAAAGUUGAGACAUGGACGAAAACAACUCGACGAUCUGACAACAGACAGCACACAUGAGGAGACUAAAUAGAGAAGGAGUGAUUAUCAUAAUGCAGAGCAGGUGAUGGUGACCAAUAACAAGAUAAUAAUGAAACAAGAGGGCGGAGACGGGCACCACGGUGACACAGAAGCACAUGUAUUACAGACAUCGUGGCAAAGUGAGAUCACACACCUUUCUGAGAAGCUAGAUCAAGAAGAAACACUCAAAAGGUGAUCUCAACCAGCCGCAUGAAGACACUGUGCAGUGCUACAAGAGGCUUGUGUAGCAUCUGACUGAAUCAGGCAUCAAACCUCUGCUGGUGCUCCAUCGUUCUGCUGUACCAGAACUCUUCCGAGCCAGAUACGGAGGCUGAGAGAAUCCCUUACCCGUGCAGAUGUUUGAGCAGACUUCAUUUGUCUCUUGGGAUCAGAUCAGAGCCAGUGAUAUUAACUUCAUUUAUCAAAUGGGAUCAAAAAGUGUUUAAGACAGUUCAUCAUAUACAGGUGCUGGUCAUAUAAUUAGAAUAUCAUCAAAAAGUUUUAUUUUCAAAGAAUUUAUUUCACUAAUUCCAUUCAAAAAGUGAAACUUGUAUAUUCAUUCAUUACACACAGA